UACGUAGGGUCCGAGCGUUGUCCGGAAUUACUGGGCGUAAAGGGCGCGUAGGCGGCCCGCUAAGUCGAACGUGAAAUCCCCGAGCUCAACUCGGGAACUGCGUCCGAUACUGGUGGGCUUGAAUCCGGGAGAGGGAUGCGGAAUUCCAGGUGUAGCGGUGAAAUGCGUAGAUAUCUGGAGGAACACCGGUGGCGAAGGCGGCAUCCUGGACCGGCAUUGACGCUGAGGCGCGAAAGCUAGGGGAGCAAACGGGAUUAGA
rnacentral:rRNA from 1 species